AUACGUAGGGGGCGAGCGUUGUCCGGAUUUAUUGGGCGUAAAGAGCUCGUAGGCGGCUCGGUGAGUCGGAUGUGAAAUCUCCAAGCUCAACUUGGAGAGGCCAUUCGAUACUGCUGUGGCUUGAGUCCGGUAGAGGAGCAUGGAAUUCCCGGUGUAGCGGUGAAAUGCGCAGAUAUCGGGAGGAACACCAGUAGCGAAGGCGGUGCUCUGGGCCGGUACUGACGCUGAGGAGCGAAAGCGUGGGGAGCGAACAGGA
rnacentral:rRNA from 1 species